rnacentral:lncRNA from 1 species
AUGUUGGCAAAGAUCUACAUAACUGACAGGAGAAAUAGCAGAAGAUACACCAAAAAAGCAGAAGAGAUAUGGCUUCACGAAUCCCGCUGGGCCUGGUGCCUGGGUGCUGCAUCCUGGGGAGACGAGGGUAAGCGGAGGGUGGGGCUCUCUUUCUUGGGGACCUUGACCCCCCUCCCUUUCUCUCCCCUCCCGGGUUGCCGGGGGCCCAGCCACGUGCAGGCUGUGGC